CAUGAAUUAUUACUAGGUCUCACCAAUUAUUAUUGGUGCCUAUUGCAAGGAAUCUUUUACAUCUCUAUGUAUAUGUGUGUCUUUUCCAAAGGAUGUUUCAAAGUACAGGUGGCUAGAGAGAUUAGCAGCUGAGGACCCACUUAUUCUCCAGUACCAACUCAGCUCUCACCAUCACAAAUACACCACAAAUCCUAAGUUGGAAUAAAUUUGCUUUAAGGAAAUGCUAGAGUAAUGAACAAAGUUCAGUGCCAUGAAUCAGAAACCUAGGCAUCAGAGGAGUGGCUGGUCACAACUGUCAUAGCCAUGUGACUUGGGGCAAUCGCCAAGGCUUCAGGGUCUGUCUCCUCUUCUGCAAAUGAAGGAACUAGGCCAGAUGACCUAGGGUCCCUCCAGCCUGAAGUCAAAAUGGAAGCAGGCAGCAGUGUGUGCUAUUUAACCCCCCUCACAGGUAGAUCAUUGUAGGCUAAAACAUGAAACAAAUGAAUAGCCUAAAAUAGACUCACACAUUCGCUGUUCAUUCAAUUAAAAAGCUAAGCACCUGAAGGAAGGUACUACAUUCAGCUCAUUUCUGAAACAAUCCACUCAUUAAGGUUAGUGUGAGCAUAUCUGUGUACAUAGGCGUUGCCUACAGGACGCCAAGUCCUUUGUGUGAAUUCACAUCCCAGGGAGCUUUCACAACCACACAGCACACACUCAGCAUCUGAAGAAAGACCAACACUAAGAAAAUUCAAUUUUCCUGAUGCAUGCCAGGGAGGCUAAGCCUUUUUCAGUACACUAAUCUUUAAAAUGGUGCAUCUACCACCUCGAUGCCACAUUAUGCAAAUUUACUAAGAAUUGUGAGUGAAGAGAUUUCAGCCCAAUUUUAAAAAGCUAAGGAUUUUUUACCUGUCAAUUCCAAGAAGACGGCCCAAUAAACAAGCUGUAAUUACUCUAUCAUUAUAUCAGCUCUUUAAUCACUUUUUCUCCCUUCCCUCCCAAAAAAACAACUGAGGGGAAGGGGAAUUUCAAUAAAAAAUGGAUAGUCUUCUCCAAGUAACCUCUAUAGAAGAGGAGUGUAUCUUCUGACAGAACACAUCUGUGUGCCCGAUGUGGAGGGAGGAUAUUCUAAAUCUGGAGGGAGUUAGCUUAGACCCCCACCUUCCAGGCCCUGCCAUCUGGAAUUCUCAGAGCCAUAAAAUCAAACUGUAAGGAAGCCGGGGCUGGAUGAGUAUCCCCGCUCCCCUAACCCCACUCCAACAUUCUAUGUGCUACCAUGCUCUCCUAUUUCAACCCAACUGGUUGAGCAGGAAACACUCCUAAAUGAGCAAGUAGCCCGUGGAGCUGGACCCAAGCCUCCCCAGUCCGUGUCCACUGACACCCUGCAUGAUCGGAAGGCUUUAAAGAACCCUCACUUAGAAACCUCAUAGUGUUUUUGGAUGCUUAUCGUGUAAAAGCACCCCUGCGUUCCGAAUAAUUCAUUUCAAGAAACGUGGUAUUAAGUCCUUACUAUGUGCCAGGCGCCUGAAUAGGUGCAGGGGUAAAAAUGUCUUGCCACCAAGGAACCUCCCGCAUUUGUGAAUCUGCUGAACGUCACCACUGAUGGAUUAGAUGAUGCUGCCUUUGCCCCUUCCCCGCCUGCCACGUGUCAUCGCGCCUGCUUAGCGACACCUAGUGGUCAAUAAAGAGAACUAUCUGAAUCAAUGACGCCAUUUAGGACUUCCUCUCAAUAGAGUGUGAGCAAGUUUUCUCCUGCUGUGUCAGAUCCCUCUCCCAGAUCAGAUCAUUAGAACCUCUUCCAAUAUCUUAUGUAUGGGUGUCUAGAAUGACUUUUUUUUUUUUUUUUUUUUUUGAGACAAAGUCUUGCUCUGUCGUCCAGGCUGGAGUGCCAUGGCCCGGAUCACGGCUCUGCAACCUCUGCCUCCCAGGUUCAAGUGAUCCUCCCACCUCAGCCUCCCGAGUAGCUGGAAUUACAGGGACAUGCCACCACGCACAGCUAUUUUUGUAUUUUUAGUAGAGUUUCACCGUGUUGGCCAGGCUGGUCUUGAACUCCUGACCUCAGGUGAUCUGCCUGCCUCUGCCUCCCAAAGUUCUGGGAUUACAGGUGUGAGCCACCACACCCAGCCUAGAAUGACUUUUUAAGAUCUCUUUCUGCACACAUUUGAUCAAUAACCUUGGAAACAUUAUUCUUGUAGUACAUUUUAUUGCUGUAAGUGAACGUUAAGACUUCUGAAUAAGCAAAAAUGAUUACUUAGCAUCUCCAAUGGAAAACUAUGCAUUUUUUAUAGCACACCUUUCUAAGUUAUUUGUUUCUAUGGAGUCUUUGUCUUUUCUUGUCUUGGAGUUAUUUUAGAACUCUGUAGAUUGUGGAUAAAUACGAAUAAUUCUUGUCUAUAAACAUGCAAAUAAAUUCUGACUGAUGGAAGUUCAGUAGACUCCACCUCACCCCACACCCUCGCUCCACCCCACCUCCCAUGGAAAAAGUCAAUUUUGUGUCCACUGGUAAAUGAAUUUCAAUGUUGCUUUAUAUAAAUUGGCCUUUGACCUUUCCUUUGAACUGGUUGUGACCUCUGGCUAAUUUCCCCUUUAAUUCAUGAGUUAAAUAAAAUUUUGACAUGUUUUCAUUCUAUUA